ACAACAACUACCCAGUAUAUUCCCACUAGGUGGGGUCUGGGGAGGGUAAUAUGUAGACUAGCCUUACCCCUGUCCGAAAGGGCAGAGAGGCUGUUUCCAGUCGACCCUCGACUUAUAGGAUAAAAAAGAGAAAGCUGCAUUAAGAAACAAAGGUAAAAUUAGAAACACAAGCAAGACAAAACAAAAUAAUAAAGCACAAGUACUCCCGCAGAAAUAACGUAAAUAAUUN
rnacentral:lncRNA from 1 species